GACGAACGCUGGCGGCGUGCCUAAUACAUGCAAGUUGAGCGCUUAAGGUUGGUACUUGUACCGACUGGAUGAGCAGUGAACGGGUGAGUAACGCGUGGGGAAUCUGCCUUUGAGCGGGGGACAACAUUUGGAAACGAAUGCUAAUACCGCAUAAAAACUUUAAACACAAGUUUUAAGUUUGAAAGAUGCAAUUGCAUCACUCAAAGAUGAUCCCGCGUUGUAUUAGCUAGUUGGUGAGGUAAAGGCUCACCAAGGCGAUGAUACAUAGCCGACCUGAGAGGGUGAUCGGCCACAUUGGGACUGAGACACGGCCCAAACUCCUACGGGAGGCAGCAGUAGGGAAUCUUCGGCAAUGGACGAAAGUCUGACCGAGCAACGCCGCGUGAGUGAAGAAGGUUUUCGGAUCGUAAAACUCUGUUGGUAGAGAAGAACGUUGGUGAGAGUGGAAAGCUCAGCAAGUGACGGUAACUACCCAGAAAGGGACGGCUAACUACGUG
rnacentral:rRNA from 1 species